UAGCCAGUAUCAGUGGCCCCUUAUCUUGGCCAGUUGCGAGCCCCACCCUCAUUGUUUUAAACUUGCACAACAAGCUGAUGCUUGUAGGUGUAUCGAUCCCAGACUUAUCGACACCAUCUAUUGUGUUUGGAAACACCCAUCCUAUAUAAAGCUGCCUCAGAGCCCGAAACUCUGACAUUUUCGCGUCAGGAUCCCGCAGCGGUGCAGACCGUUUUCUUUGUGAUCAUCAACGUUAACAUAGUUCUUUAUAACACGGACAUCGUAAACGCUUCAUUUUUCGGAGAACGGCGCAGGACCUGCUGCUUCAGAAACGGCUUUACAGCUGGAUCGAGUAACAGGGUUACCAAACUGAGCAGAAAAACAUUCAGACACCGUGACCACAGAGUCAAACAACAGAGCUACGCCAGAGCACCGUGUGUGUGCAGAAGCAGGGCCGUCCGGAAUAACGCACACUACAAGACUGCAGUUCUUCCUGUGUUGAACCGUCCUUCAACAAACCAGCAACACCCGCGAGUGAGUGGCUGCCUCGUGAUUUCAGUCAUGUCUUUGAGUGCAUCAGAUUUCGAUCUAGGUCACAUACCCACCACACCAGAAUGUAUCCGAAAAAGCGACGAGUCACACAUAGAUUUUGAAGAAGGUGGCAGAACAGACUCUCAAAUAUCAGCGGCGUGUGGUGCUUGCAUGAACGUUGCAGACGCACAGCCUGCUGAACAGAGUCAUACAGAUCAAAUAAUUGAUCAAUUACGUUCGAUUGAAGCUAAACUCGACCAACACCACCAAGCCGUACAGGCACACAUGCAAGAAAUAACCGAUACUCUAACUGGGAUUGCUGAAGAAAUAAACAAAAUGUUUACCGCAUUAGACAUGCUCACCAGAAGUCUAAUGCAAAAGUCUAAUGGUCUGACUUUUAAAACCCAGACCAUGGACCCUCCUAAUAAAUUAUUUAAACGUAAUAACGGUACCUCCACUCCUGCUAGACGGGAUGACUUGGCGGCUUUUAAACGGUGGUCUGAAGAAACAAACAAAAAAUUAGACGAUAUUAUUGCAAGACUUAAUAAAGUGCCUGCAUCAACAUCUGAUACAAAACCUUGUCCAACUCACUCUGAGCCUGUUGUUACUGAUGCUAACUGUACAGACGCUGCUGCUGGUGAUUUCUGAUGCACAACCUAGCGGGGUUACCUCUGCUGCUGCUGUUGCUACUGAGACUGUUACUGCUUCUACUAAUGCUUUUGCCUCACCAGCUCGCAGCUGUGCACCUGUCACACUUAGAAGUCAAAGUACACAUUAACCAUAAUUACAAAAACAUUUUUAUUUCAUUUAAAAGUGAGAUUCUAAGUUGUAAGAAGAAAUCUUAUGCUCAGCCAGGAGUAUGUUUCCUCCCUUUCACAAUGCUGAGGUAUCAAAUCCAUGAUCCAACAGAUGGUUUGUCACACGCGGGCGAGAAGGGCAAGCCACCACUUACACAACCUCUCACACUAUAGAUUUUUAAAGUUCUUGUGUACAACGGUUUAGCUACAGAUAUAACUUCUACUUUUGAUAAAGAUCAAUCCCUCUGCAUAUUUCUUAAGAAAUGAAGCAUCUUUACUGGGAUAUUUAUUGUCAAACUAUGCGAUUUUCCAGAUGUGUGUGGAGUAAAAUGUUGUGACCAAGAAUCAUAUAUAGUAUAGUUCCACACUUUACCGCUAGUUUUACAAACACGUUCUUCUUCGUGCCUGUUCAAUUGUUGUUGUUUUUUUUAUUAAACUGAUUUUUCAAUAGUACAACCAACGUCUAACUUUUCUUUGCUCCCCAGUGUAAAUGCAGGAAUUUCGCAGGCUUUAUUGAAACUGACACAAUUUAACACUCAAUGCCAUAAACAGAGUUGAUCCAUGUCUCUAUGGAAAGUGUUUCAUGCAUCAGCAGCUUUGAAAAUCACUUUUAAAGUAAUGUAGAACAUGAUCUCUCUCACUCUCAGCGUCUGUAAAAACCCAGCAAAGUGACAAUCACCUCUAAACAAGAGGGGUUAGUUUAUAGGGUUUUGUUGUUGUUGUCGUUGUUGUUGUUGUUGUUUGACACACUGUAAGUAAGUUCAGUACAGGACAAUGCGGCUAACAGCCUUGGAAAUGCUUUACAUGAAAUAAAACGUUUUAGAAAACAAGAAUAAAUGUAACUGUUUUACCUGAAUCAAAUGUAUUAGUUUACUUGAAAUAAAACUUAUUUGGGAAA